GUAGUCGGAUUCACAUCAAUCCACAUGUGUUGAGGUGGAUUGGAGUGGAACUUAAACUAAAUUUCACCCCAAUCCACAUCAACACAUAUGGAUUGAAGUGAAUACGACA
rfam:Sorghum bicolor cultivar BTx623 chromosome 5, whole genome shotgun sequence.